rfam:Ruminococcus sp. CAG:330, WGS project CBIH01000000 data, contig: 149
ACCAGAGUAGGAAACGGUGCGUUAAGUGUCCGGCAGACGGGGAGUUGCUGCCGGGACGAAAAAUUCAGGACAGUGUCCCGAAUUUGCGGUGCCGAUUCCGCAUCCCGCUGAA